rnacentral:rRNA from 1 species
UGCAGUCGAGCGGAACGAGUUAACUGAACCUUCGGGGAACGUUAACGGCGUCGAGCGGCGGACGGGUGAGUAAUGCCUGGGAAAUUGCCCUGAUGUGGGGGAUAACCAUUGGAAACGAUGGCUAAUACCGCAUAAUAGCUUCGGCUCAAAGAGGGGGACCUUCGGGCCUCUCGCGUCAGGAUAUGCCCAGGUGGGAUUAGCUAGUUGGUGAGGUAAGGGCUCACCAAGGCGACGAUCCCUAGCUGGUCUGAGAGGAUGAUCAGCCACACUGGAACUGAGACACGGUCCAGACUCCUACGGGAGGCAGCAGUGGGGAAUAUUGCACAAUGGGCGCAAGCCUGAUGCAGCCAUGCCGCGUGUAUGAAGAAGGCCUUCGGGUUGUAAAGUACUUUCAGCAGUGAGGAAGGCGGAGUCGUUAAUAGCGGCCUCGUUUGACGUUAGCUGCAGAAGAAGCACCGGCUAACUCCGUGCCAGCAGCCGCGGUAAUACGGAGGGUGCGAGCGUUAAUCGGAAUUACUGGGCGUAAAGCGCAUGCAGGUGGUUUGUUAAGUCAGAUGUGAAAGCCCGGGGCUCAACCUCGGAAUUGCAUUUGAAACUGGCAGACUAGAGUACUGUAGAGGGGGGUAGAAUUUCAGGUGUAGCGGUGAAAUGCGUAGAGAUCUG